UCACAUCAACAGACCUCAUUUGCCGCGGAGGGGCCGUGCCAAUCCAUUUUCUUUUUUCGAUCUCGAUCUGCCGCUUGCGCCUCCGCCGCACCGUCGUUCAUCUCCGGCGAUCAAUUACUUUUUUAUAUUUUUAAUUGAAUUGUGAAAGUGCGUAUGUUCGUUGCUUCCUCCGCCAUAGUUGUUGCUGCUGCUGUUGUUGCCGCCGUCGUCACUCUCCGUUCACCUAAUUCUGAGAAUACAAAUAAUGUCUCGAGAAAUCGAGCCUACAACGGGAGGUCCAUCUCCGGCAGGGCCCUAUGAAGCUGAGCUCAACGUGCCACCGGGGUUCCCUGUUAUAUUGCAGCACAGUUGCAACAACAAUCAGAAUCAGGAUGAGGACGAGCAUGAAAAUGAUAACCGCGUGCAUAUUGAUCCGAGCAAAUUCUUCAUUAUAAAGAACAUUCCAGACCGGAUUAAGUCGAUCAUAACUUCAAACUAUCCGGGAGACUGGAUCCAGAUGCAUCAAAUCCCUCCGGAACAUAAAGAACUUUGGUUCGAUUUGUUUUGGUGUUAUUACAAGUGGGAUGCCGUGCACGGCAAAAUGAUUCGAACUUUGUUCUUUAGGAAGGCCAGUGAAUUGUUAAGAAAGGCCUUCAUUCUCGCCCGGAAAAACAAUGAGAAACCGGAUUGGGUGGACGAAAGAGCCUGGUCCGUGAUGUUGGCUAAGUGGAAUAGCGAUGCAUACCGUAAACUUCAAGAGCAGAAUACUAACAACAGAGCAGGCAAUACCUAUGUUUAUUGAGGUGGGUUCUACUUCUGUAUCGCGGCACACACACUUAUUGGAAAUGAAAUUAGGGCGCACCCCGUCUCCUCUUGAUGUAUAUCAACGAUGCUGGGCGAACAAAGAUGGUUCUUUUCCAAACAAGAAGUUGCGGGGCGUCGCCGAUAAAUUACUGGAAUUUCAGUCGGAAGCGCCAACACAAGAAGCCAUUUGCACCCCUCUUGCUAGUAACGAGUCUCUAGUUAAAAAGCUCGGUGGAUUCAACAAAAGGGGUCUGAUUGCCGGUUUUGGCUCGGAGUCGAGAGCUGCACGAGCACAAAUGCGUGUAUCCACUUCCUUGUAUGCUACGCCCGAUGUGUACUCGCAACACUUGAUCGCCGAGCAGCAGGAAAAGCUUGAGGCGUACGAGGCAAAAAUCGAGCAGAUGCAACGUCGAAUGGAUGAAAUGGAAGCUUGCCUUAACCAGCAAUCGAACAGCGGCACAGAUUCUGGCGAUCCCACUGUUGGUGAUGAACGGCCUGGACGGACAAGCAAUUCCUCCCUCGAUUCCAGAUGAGGCCUUAAAUUUACUAUGAUAAUGAUGGAGAUGUUAACGUUUCUUAUGUGUUCGAUCUGUAGUAGGAAAGAUCGGACAGACAUUUUAUGUAUCGGCACUUUGAUGGAUGAUCGAAGAGGCUUCCAAUGAGAAGUAUAACAUUGCCGAUGAACCUAGUUACCGCUACCGUUGCCGGAGCAAUCUCCGCCGCCGAAAGAUCAUUCUCGAUAGGGGUCGACCCAGCACUCGUCUUCCUUAACCGCCUUGUCCCAUCUCCGCUGGAACUCCUUCAUUUCUUUGACUGAUCGUAGGCGAAUCUGCAUGAAAAAAGUCACAAAAAUUAUACCAAAAUCAGACAAAUGUCCGGACAAUGAAGUCAUUCGUGUCUAUUUACUUAGUAAUUUUUUAAAAAUUAGAUGUGAUAUUUGAAUAUCAAUUGUUAUAUCAAAGUACAAUGGCGCAAAAGGUAAGGUAAAUAUAA